AGAUAAAAAACCUGAGCCUCAGAAUCAGCAGCGGCAGCAGCAUUCACAUCAAAUGGAUGUCACAGACAGCAGACCUGAGCCCAGGAACUGGCAAGGGGGACGCUCACAUCAAAUGGCUGUCACAGACAGAAGACCUGAGCCUGGGAACCGGCGGUUUGAGAGUUCACGUCAAACAGAACAUGAACAUGUGUACGAGACAAUGUCACAGAUUUAUGAAGAUGCAAUAUAAAAUCAGCUUUCUGCUUUAAAAGGUUAUCAUAAAAAGAAUAAUGAAACUACACAACCAGUUGGAGGAAGGGGAAAGACUUUGAUUGUCUUACAUUUUAAUUGACAGCUUUUUUUUAUUAUAUGUUUACUGUUUGUUUUUUCUUUUAGUUUUUUCUGUUGUGUUUAAUAGAUUAACAAAGACAAAUAAAAUUUACAUACCAUAAAAAAAUCUGCCAAUAAUGUCUAUAAAUAGAUAAAGUAUUGUGUUUAAAAUCUGCAACAAUAAACACAUUUCAUACAACUUUAAUAACUCUCAAUUAA